GACGGAAGGUGCAAGCGUUGCUCGGAAUCACGGGGCGUAAAGGGUGCGUAGGCGGCCGCGCAAGUCUGGCGUGAAAGCCCCGGGCUCAGCCCGGGAAGGGCGCUCGAAACGGCGCGGCUCGAGUGCCGGAGGGGAGAGUGGAAUUCAUGGUGUAGCAGUGAAAUGCGUAGAGAUCAUGAGGAAGACCAGUGGCGAAGGCGGGUCUCUGGACAGUUCCUGACACUGAGGCACGAAGGCCAGGGGAGCAAACGGG
rnacentral:rRNA from 1 species